GGAUUGAUAGGGGCGAGUUUGGAUCUGAUCUGAACCCUCCCCAUUAUGAGGUUGUGAGGGUGUUCAAGUCCUACAGAUUCGGCACCUUGUCUCAUUUGUCUUGUCGAUAAAGUGGAGCGAGUCUGGGUCUGUAAAACCAAGGAAUUUCCUCCCCUAUACACCGAUUUUGUAGACCCGCCCGCCCCUGUUGUGAGGAUAUUCAAGGAGAACAUUUGGCCCCGUUCGGGUACUACAAACCCGGACACCCUGUCUACUCUGUUCCAUCCAUUAAAUGGAGAGAAUCCAGGUCAGAAAAACCAAGGAAUUUCCCUUAUUUUUUUAAGACAUGUACAAUUUCAUGAAAUAUGUUUCUUUUUAGAGAUUAUAAGUUAGACAAAUCAGACCAAAUUAAAAAUAAUUUGCCAAACAACAAAAAACAGGUUUUUCUUUCUUUUAGGAUCAUCUUAUAUAACAAAAUCAAUAUGAAAUAUCACAAGAUAAAAGCUCUGAUACCACAUCAAAACACUCAAUUCUUGGGGUGCAUCACAAAAAGAAGAAGGAUCGAAAAAAAUAAAUGUAUUUGCACAAUUGCCAAAGUAUCAAAAGUCACUUAAUGAGUCUAAUAUAGUCUUAAUUAUAUAGUCAAUGACCUUGCAUGUCGGUUCGGUUAGGUUCGCG
rnacentral:lncRNA from 1 species